rnacentral:rRNA from 1 species
AACGUAGGACGCAAGCGUUAUCCGGAGUUACUGGGCGUAAAGCGCGGGCAGGCGGCUCGAAACGUCUGAUGUGAAAUCUCCUCGCUCAACGGGGAGAGGCCAUUGGAAACGGUCGAGCUGGAGGGCAGUAGAGGUAGGCGGAAUUCCGGGUGGAGUGGUGAAAUGCGUAGAGAUCCGGAGGAACACCAGAGGUGAAGGCGGCCUACUGGGCUGCACCUGACGCUGAGCCGCGAAAGCCAGGGGAGCGAACGGG